UAAGGGAUGCUACAGAGAAGCUUUCCAGGCUGCAAAGUGAGUCCUCCAGGCUGGCCUCUCCCCCAGAGCUCACACAAGAGGAACUUGUCGUAAACUCUACCCUCCAUGUGGGGCUCGAACUCAUGAUUCUGAGAUCAAGUGUUGCAUGCUGUAUGGACUGGGCCAGCCGGGUGCCCCAUAAUGAGUUUAAAACAGAGACUGUUCCAUCUCUUCAACCUUGGAUUAAAACAAGAGCCAGAGCAACUCAAGAAUCCUCACAUUUUUGCCUUCCUCAUGGAAAACAGGAACUCAUACAAGGAAAGGAAAGUUGUCUGCCCCACUUUAAAAUGGGGCAAAAUAACAUGAAAACUGUAGUCACUAACGCUUAUUACAGUGCUGAUUAUGUGCCAGACAGACUCUUCUAAGAGUUUUACCCAUGUUGGCUCAUUUGUUCCUCAGAGCAACCCUAAGAGGAAGUGUUAUCAUAAGCUCUAUUUUACACACAGGAAAACAGAGGCACAGGGGUUAAGGGACUUGCUUGCCCACAUCACAAAAGCCAGUAAGUAGUGUGACUGGGACUCCUGCCAGGCAGGUAGGCUGCAAUGCCUGCUCCUAACACUAUCCUAUACUGUUCCUGUAGUUGCCAGAUACCAAAAAUAUGUGUGGUUGAGGUUCUCAGAGGUGGCGUGAUGGCCAAUGGCUUGCAAGGUGCCAGGUGCUAGGAGAGAGGCGAUGUAUCAGAAUUAUAAGAUAAACUGACACGGCAUAUUCUCAGAGUGAAAACCUACCAAUGCUAGAUUGUGUCCCUCUAGAAAGCAGUAGCAUCCCCUCAGUCUAGACCUAGUGGCACAAACUCAAGGCUGAAAGGAACACAAGUUCCUGUAUACUGGCUGUGUUUCUGGCAUGUCAAUGGAUGUUAACCGGGCAAGUUUUAAAAUAUGCCUGCAAAUUCUAGACACACUUCUCUUCAAAAGGUGAGGCCUAGUUUCCUUCCCCUUGAACAUGGCUUCUAACAAACAGAAUGUGGCAGAAGUGAUGCUAUGGGACUUCUGAGGCUAGCCCAUAAAAGGGCUAGCUUCCACCUAGCUGUCUCUGGUUUGUUAGCUCUAGAGGAAGCCAUCCACCAGGUUAUGAGGUCACCCAAGUAGAGAGGACCACAUUUGGCAAAGAACUCCGUUGCCAGUCAUGUGAAUGAGCCACUCUGAAAUAGAUCCUCCAGCCCCAGACAAGCCUUCAGUGAUUCUAGUCCCCACAGACAAACCAUCCCCACUGUGCUCUGUCAGUACUGUUGUCCCACAGAACCAGGAGAAAUACUCAUUGUUGUUUUAAGCCACAAGUUUGAAUAAUUGGUUACACAGCAAUGGAUGAGAGACAAGACCAACUCACCCUCUCUGCCCACCAGGGACUUGUAUCCUGGCUCUGUCUGGAAGGGGUGAGGAAGGGACAUGUUAGCACUAAAAGACUCCUUUGUAGGGAAAGAUGGUUUUCCAGAUUGUAGAGAACAUGCUUCUGGCUUUAUAGCCACAGAAGGGCUUUUCCUAGGACUGGAAAAAGUUAACUAUGAAAGCAAAGUAAUGAUUCUGCUAAAACCAUUUAAAAUACCUGGUUAUAAAACUUCUAACUUAUUCAAGUGUUAAACUUUUCGUGUCUACGUGCUCUGACCAAAGGUUUUCUUUAUUCUGUAUUUGUCAUUCUUUGUCAGGAUAGCAAUGCAAAAUUCAAGGCAUGAUCCAAAUUGUUGAAAACCUCUUUCAUUUCCGUAUUCUUCUAAUCACCCAAAAAUAUUGGCCCUAAUUCCAUUACUAUUUCCAAUUCCACCAAAGUAUCUUUUUAAUGUGGAACAACCUCUUAUUCAAUAGUCCCCAGGGGCUGAAUUCAAAGAUUUUCAGUAGAAAGAGGGUCUAUUAAAAGGCAUGUUGUGUCCUCCAACUUGAAAACUGAGCCAGUUCUUCAGUGCCAGGAUCUUUGUGUUAGAGAAGCAGUCUUAACCCUCUGAGCGCAUCAGACAAUGCCAAGACCCUUCUGUCAGAGACGUGAGGAUGGACCCCCUCUGCUUUCCUGUCUUACCUGGACUAGGCAAGGCAAGAAGAGUUCAAUUUCACACCCUGCCCAUUAUGAGCAAAGGUAGCUGAAUGUUCAAUACCAGAAAAAGACACCCUGACCCAUACUGUUCAAAUUUCAAGGCUGGUAUCAACAGUGUGCCAGAGUUCUCUGGCAGGCAGGGGGCAGGACAAGACCAUUAACAAGCUGAUCACAUCUGCAGCAAAGGUGGGGACUGGUGGACAAAGGUCCCAGGGCAGCAAAUGCGAAAAAAAUGUUCCAAGUAGUUGAAAUAUGCUUAUACUUGGGGCACAAUCAGUUAUUUGAAACAAAUUACGUAAAAAUGAAAACUGGGGGGGAAAAAUGAAGACUGAGCCACCCCAAAAGUUCAGAGAGCAUCUUUCCAGCCUUUUUCAGUCCUGAGUGUAAAGUCUAUCUAUAGAGAGGAAGCCCUUUUAGGGUGUGAGGCCUUUAUGCUGUGAUGCGCCAAAUCUUUCACACCUGAUCUAAACCGCCUUCGAGGCCUUUAGGAAAGAGGAUCUAUGUCCAAAUGGCAAAUUUUAAAUGGCCUUUAUUCAAGACUAGCCUGACCUUGUUUUUCAUAUUUUCUAUAAACCAUGCAAAACAACUCUCCCUUCAGCGCCAUCAUUACCUGAUAUGGGGAAUGGAGGGAGCAGCCAAUUUAUUUGUUCGUUCACUACUUUGAAGCUUUGUCCUUAAUUCAUUCAUCUCUGCAUCUUUAAAUUGGAGUUCAGACUGCAAUGACUGAAGCUGGAAGGCAAAGGCAACAUACUCAUGGUGGCCCCAUCAUAUAUGCAAAAUUAUCUCUGGACUUCAAAACAUCAAGUUCGUAAACGAAAACAGUGAGAAAUAAAUAUGAAAGUCCACUGUGACACAAAUGUCCUUUCUAUAGAGCUUUAGCCUUCUUCCUGAAAGUCAGCAUGGUAUUCUAGAAAGACAUUUUGACCCGAUCUAUUGCGAGGUAGUUUGUGAGGGUUUAAAUACCAUUUACUCAGCCUCUCUAAACUUUAGCUUAUCUGUAACAUAAAUACCUGUCUUCAUGGUUGGGGGGAUUAAAUAGGAAGGAUGAAUGUGAACCGCCCAGCCUGGAGCCUGGCAAGGUGCCUUAUCUCACAGUGACACGUCGACCUUUUGAUGAACGUAGUGGUGUAUGAUUCCAGGUCUUCUUGAAAGUCUGGGCAGAGUAUUUGGAAAUUUUACCAAAACCCCAUGCAGCAUGGGCAGACCUGCUCUGGCCUACACCCAACAGUAACCGCUGUUACUCCCUGGGCACACUCUGUGCCAAGUAUAGUACCAGUCACAGCACCGUCCCAGCAAGUGCAGGGCUGUUUAAGUCUUACAGCAACCCUUCUGGUUAUUUCCUGUAACAGAUCAUAGAAAUGAGUCACAGAGCUUAAGUCAUUACCCUGAAGUCUCCACUCAUGUGAGAAAGAAAGACUGGAUUCAAACUCUGGUUUGUCUGAUUACAACUCCCUUGCUCUUCCACCAUGUAUGUGGAGAGACAAGUACUGCUGUUAGUGCUGGGCACAGGUUAGUGCUUCUUUAAAGUUUGCUAAUUUGCUGAGUGAAUGGCAGAAUAAGACCCAUGUCCUUGAGAUUGAAGCCAUGGAAAGUGCUGAAGGAAAAUGGCGGUAUGUAUGGACACCUACUAAUUUCUUCCCAGAAUAGCAUCUCCCUCCCCCGAGAAAUCAUCAUUUCCCUACCUCUGUGUGAUUUAAAUGGGAGCUAUCAUCUCUGUGGUUACAGUGUGACUCAGGUCAGACCAAUGAGAGCCUUGAGAUGGGGGGGAGGCAAGUAUUCAUUCUGCUCUGGAGCUAUGAAACAUGAACCCAAGAGCUGCUGGAGAACAUAUCCUUUACCAUAAGGAGGGAGUCUGUCUAUAGAGCAGACAGUAAAGACAAGUCCUGGCAAGGCUUGAGUCAUUCAAGGCCCCCGCACACCUGUUUUUUCCCAGACUUAGUUAUGGAAGUCAAUACAUUUUCUUUUGGCCUAAGCUAGGUCAACUGAGUUUCUAACCUGGCAAAAAAGCUCUUACUUACGCCUAUUUCCGGAAAGUCUAAGCUAUUGAUUUGUUCCUGCCAAGACCAACUAUCAUAACUACCACAGCAAAGCAGUUUCUUCUAAGUCCUUUUCCAAACCACAUGUAGAACUUAGAAGAAAAGUAUAUGCAAUUAACUGAUAGCAGAAAGUAUUUAAGACAAACAACUGUUGAAAUCUUCCUGGAAGAUUUAUAGACACUUUGGUCAUUGCUUCUAAAAGAACUCAGUGAACAGGCAAAGCUUGUGUCUAGAACAAGAAAAAAAUAAAAAAGCUCUGGGUCACCUUUUUGGAAAAUUCCUUUUCUUUGUCACCAAGUGCUUGAGUUUUCUCUUGCUCAAGAAGGAAAUGUGAUCUUCUCUGUUCCUCUAGAAUGGAUUCUGUCUGAUGCAGUGAGUCCCGUAAGAUUUUUAUUUCUCCAUUUUUAAUGAGGACUUCUUCUUCCAUUGCCUUCAUCUGUAAAUCCCAAAUCAAUCUUGUGAAAAGCUUACAAGGGAAAGUUUAUUUGUACUUGUUUCAACAUAUAGCAGAAAAAGCACAUGUAAACCAUGUUCUACAGACCAAUGAGUCCUCAAAUAUAUCCAUACCAUCUGUCACCAUGGUCUGCUAGGCCCAUUCGUGGAACAGUUGACAUUCAGCAAGAUAGCUUAAGGACACACUGUCAUUCACACAUACAGAUUCUGUAGGUUCUAGAAGUAUUAAACAAUCUGGGUCACACACUUCACAGAUCCAAAAUUUCACACUAUGUUCCUGGUUUUCCUAAGGACCUUCAGAUGGUCAUAUAAAGGAUGUCUGCUUUUUUGUAAAACUGCUACUGAAAACAGCAAAUAUUAUGAUGUUGUAUCCCCUAUAUAAGACAUAUACUAUAAAUUUGUCUCAGUACUAUGACAUAAAGUUUGUAUCUUUUUUUGGA